rnacentral:rRNA from 1 species
AUGCAGGGGCUCACGUCGCUGGUGUUUCUCUGCGCGCGCGCCGACGAGUACGUCCGGCCGCCGCCGAGCCCGCUCGUGCUGACGGCGCACGACAAGCCGGCGGCUCAUCCUCAGCAGGUGCAUAUUUCAACUGUCGGAAGCAACAGCAUGCGGAUUUCAUGGGUCACUGACGACCGGAACGCGCCGUCGGUGGUGGAGUACGGCAAAUCUCGCGGCAACUACACGGUGUCCACGACCGGCAAUCACGCGACGUACCGCUACUUCUUCUACAAGUCCGGCGCGAUCCACCACGUGACGAUCGGCCCGCUGGCGGCCAGCACGACCUACCACUACCGGUGCGGCAAGGCCGGCGACGAGUUCACCCUCAGGACCCCACCGGCGUCCCUCCCGAUCGAGCUCGUCGUCAUCGGCGACCUCGGCCAGACAGGCUGGACCGCGUCGACGCUGUCGCACAUCGGCGGCGCGGACUACGACAUGCUGCUGCUCCCUGGCGACCUGUCGUACGCGGACACGCAGCAGCCGCUGUGGGACUCGUUCGGGCGGCUGGUGCAGCCGCUGGCGAGCGCGCGGCCGUGGAUGGUGACGGAGGGCAACCACGAGGUGGAGGCGCUCCCCGUCGUGGGCUUCGCGCCCUUCGUCGCGUACAACGCGCGGUGGCGCAUGCCGCACGAGGAGAGCGGCUCCGCCUCCAACCUCUACUACUCCUUGGACGUGGCCGGCGGCGCGGCGCACGUCGUGAUGCUGGGCUCCUACACGGAGUUCGAGCAAGGGUCGGAGCAGUACGCGUGGCUGGAGCGGGACCUCGCCGGCGUGGACCGGCGGAAGACGCCGUGGCUGCUGGUGCUGCUGCACGCGCCGUGGUACAACACCAACCAGGCGCACCAGGGGGAGGGCGAGGCGAUGCGCGCCGCCAUGGAGAGGCUCCUCUACGAGGCCCGCGUCGACGUCGUCUUCUCCGGACACGUUCACGCCUACGAGCGAUUCACAAGGAUCUACGACAACGAGGCCGACAGCCGGGGCCCGAUGUACAUCACCAUUGGCGACGGCGGCAACAGGGAAGGGCUUGCUCUCAAGUUCCACAAGGAUCACAGGUCAGCGCACCUGUCGGUGUUCCGGGAGGCGAGCUUCGGGCACGGUCGGCUGAGAAUCGUCAACGAGACGAGCGCCGUUUGGACAUGGCACCGCAACGACGACGAAUACGCCACCGUCCGCGACAAGGUCUGGCUGGAGAGCUUGGCUACUCCAAAGCUGUCCACGGCAACCGCCGGUCGUCAGGACGACGAGUUGUAG